rnacentral:lncRNA from 1 species
UCAUGAAUGUAUAUAUAAUUUCACUAAUCCCUUGAAAGAAACUACAAAAUUUAAAAUAGAACUAAAAUGAUCAACUGUAAAUAGAUGAAAGCAAGUAGAAACAAACAGGACAAAGGUGGCAGCAUAGGAACGUUUGUAAACAGUAUAGUCUUAAUCAGGAGGACACGGAUUAGGUAUUAGUGGACUAUGUGGUAAUGAACACUCCCACGUGCCCACAUACACACGCGUACACACACUUGCAGAACUGAGGCAGGAAAAUAGGGUCUGGAGGCAGGGAACAUAAGGCUGAUUUACACUUCAGCUAUGACAGGAAAUAUCCUCUCCAUAGGGCAGACACCGAGUAAAUGACUGUAACUUUACUUUGUCCUCUCCAUUUACAGCGGGCAUACUCGAAGCAACCAAUGAAAUCCUUUAGGGGGUAUUUUAAACUCCUAAAAAUUCCUUAAUAGGGCCUUUGAGCUCCUAUGCUUGGGCCCUCUCCCACACUGUGGAGUGUACUUUCACUUUCAAUAAAUUCCUUUGUCCCUUCCUUGCUUUGUGCGUUUUGUCCAAUUCUUUGUUCAAGACACCAAGAACCUCGACACGAACCACCUUUAACAUAGUUUGGUGAACCAGCCUGGAGGCAGAGUCAAGCAUGAUCCCUAAGGCUGCUCAGGGAGAGAGAACCUAGAAACCUGGCAUGCUGGCAAAAGGAGACCAUCAAGCUUCAGAUGAUCAUGCAACAAAAGUCCCAGCUAGUUCCAGGUGAAGACAACACACCUGGCCUUCAAAAAGCUACUCUGCCUCCACUAGAGAGAACAGGGCGAGAGUUCCAUGAUCCCCAGUAGGAAAGAAAUAACAUGAUUGAGGUUGAAUUUAUCACUACCAGAGAAAUGGAAC